rnacentral:rRNA from 1 species
GCUGGCGGCGUGCUUAACACAUGCAAGUCGAACGAACCUUCGGGUUAGUGGCGGACGGGUGAGUAACGCGUGGGAAUCUGCCCUCAGGAGGGGGAUAACGGCUGGAAACGGCCGCUAAUACCCCAUAUGCCGAGAGGUGAAACGAAUUUCGCCUGAGGAUGAGCCCGCGUCUGAUUAGCUAGUUGGUGGGGUAAGAGCCUACCGAGAAUUCGAUCAGUAGCUGGUCUGAGAGGAUGAUCAGCCACACUGUCUCUGAGACACGGGACAGACUCCUACGUGAUCCUGCAGUGGGG